rnacentral:rRNA from 1 species
GCAUGUCGAACGAAGCACUUGUGCUUAGUGGCGAAUGGGUGAGUAACACGUACUUAAUCUGCCCUCAAGUCAGGGACAACAGUCUGAAACGGCAGCUAAUACCGGAUAUGUACUACUACCGCAAGGUAGUUUUAUAAAAGGAGCGUUUGCUUCGCUGGAGGAUGAGAGUGCGUCGUAUUAGCUAGUUGGUAGGGUAAAGGCCUACCAAGGCGAUGAUACGUAGCGGGGUCGAGAGGCUGAAC